ACUGCAGAUUCUUGAUUUCUUGGAAUUGUCUUUAACAGCUGUCGAUGCCAAGAUGGGAAGAUUUACAGAUAUUACGUAUGUCUUUUUCUCUGAAUUUUGUUAUGUUUAAGUCAGAAAUAGCUUGCUCCUUGGAUUUCGUCUCAGUCAGUGAGCUCAAUGCCAAGCUAUUGACAGAUACGGUGGACGAGAGGAUGGAAUUGGAUAUCUUGGUUUGUAGGAAUCUGAUCGAAGAUGCGUUAGAACGAAUCAAUGAUAUUGUUCCUUCCAGGGCUCCACCGUGUCCAUUUGUUCUGGAAGGCACACAAAAGUCUCAACUUUUGCUUAAAGCAAAAUGUUUGGUUUAUUGAACUGCAGAUUCUUGAUUCAAAUCCUAGUCUUUGAUAGGAAAAUCAAAUAGUGAAUUGGGCGUCCUACAACAUUCAUCUGCUUCUAUUUUUUUGGUUAAGUGUGUAAUGAGUUUAUGUUCCAAUAAGCUGAACAUUUCAAACUCCUCUUCAUGGAAUGGACAAUACUAUGGAUCCUGAACUCAUGUCUUUGCCGUUGGAAAGACGAGGAUAAAAUUUUCUCGAGGAUGGAUCACAAAGGCGAGAGAAAUAUACUCGACAUCCAUGUAGGUAUCUAGAUACCUACGGUGUCGACCUGAAAUGAAGGCAUUGUUCCUCGAUCACGUAGCUAUAAUUCUAACUUUCACGUAUCACGGUCAUCGCAUUAGCUCUUUGCGAUUUCUUUUUUUUUUUGUUAUUUAUAAACGUGGAAAAGAAAUAAAGAGCUGUUAUAAGUAAAGUCCUCUUAUGAAUAUCAAUUAAAUUUCAAUCACAUGAUUCCUUCGGUGUCGUCCUAAAAUGACUGCUCUAUAUCUAUAUAUCUAUCUAUAUAUAUAUCUAUACUAAUAAAGUAGCUUGGAAAGGCUCCUCAAGCCUCCACCUCAGCACACCAUGUUCCUUUUGCCGCCACGUGUCACCUUAACAAACCUUCACUAAACUAAUUUUUCCUUGGUUCAUUCACUCUACGAAAUAUCUCCAUUAACUGCUGCCAUCACUGCUUCUUUAAAACAAAAUCGAAAACGUUCUGAAUUCUCUUCCGAUUCAUGUAUCUCUCAAUUUAUAAAUCAUUACAAAACCACAGAAUAUCAAUUGCUCUUCAUUCACUAACCCAAAUAAAGCAAUUUUUUUCAUUCUCCAGGCAAAUCUAAACUUGUCUUUUCUCCACCUACGUUCAUGGACGGUAGCGGCGGCUGAUACGGAGAUGACGGAAGGUCUAGGCGGUGUUUUCUCCGUAGCUUCAUCCAUCCUUCGCUCCAGAUGUCGGGGCAAAUCUAAGCCUCUGAUUAUGCAUGUUGGUGGCAAGUGUGCUUACGGCAUGGUUUGGUAAAAUUUUCCGACAUAAGUUCAAAAUAGCCUUCCACAUUGAUUUUUGCUUAACUUCCAAUUGAGAAAAUGAAACGCCAAUGCCAAAUUUGAUCCGCCAAAAAUUUCCAUUAAAAAACAUAUCGUAUUGUUCCAUUAAUGAGUAUAACCCUUCAAUUCUUGGUGAUACAAAUGAGGUCAGACAAGUUUAUAAUCUCUCCUCAGAAGCAACAUAGCAUGAUAUAGAAAAAAAGUGGAGGAUACUCUCUGCAGCUAUAGCUAAGCGUUGUCCAAUGCAAGGUACAUUUAUUUCAAUUUGCCUUUAGAUAUGAUUUUGUGUUGAGUAAUUUGUAGUUUUCUUUUCUUUUCUUUGGUCAAAGUAAUUUGUAGUUUCUCGAUCAGGAAUUUGCAGAGAUGGAGUCCUCCGAAAUAGAGGCAUGACGGAAUGUCGCCGCUUACAUUAGGGAUGGAUUGCAAUCCCCCGUCGUGCAAAUCAGUGAGUCCUUAGGUUCCCUUAAUCCUAAGUUUAUAUAAUAAAAAUAGUUAAAAAAAAAAACUAUGUGUUUCAAAAAGAAAAAAAACUAUGUAUAAUGUUUCUUUGGGAGUGUCGUGAUCUUCAUUGAUUUUACAACACACAUGCUGAAUCCCUUUGGGGACUAAAUGUGGAUAACCCUUCCCUUCACAGCCAACGUUACGCUUAGCAAUAAUGUCAAGCAAUAAAAGUGUCCUUCAAUGGAGCUUUCUAUCUAUGUACUGACUUCGCUUGACUAUUCAGUAUAAAUAUGUACCUCUUGAGAGCGUAAGCUUAAUACUUUUCCCUUUCCGAUUACAAAGCUUUUGUUAUUUUCGAAACUAACCUUUUCAUUAUGGCAACUUGUCCAAUCCAUUUCACAGAUUUGAAGGAUGCAAGCUGUCUAGAAAAAGUGGUAGACAAACUCAUUCAAUUUUGGGAAGCCUGGAAUGUGAAGAAAAGAGGCUAACUGAUGGGCGUUGAUAUGGUUCUUAUUGAUUCAAAGGUGCAAGAUUCCUUCUUUUGAAUCAGCCUUUCAUUUAUCAAUUGGUGGACAUGACAUUGGCCUCACAAAAGUUUCCGUUGGCCUCACAAAACUAUCAUCCUCUUGAAGAAUUGAAGCCUGGCAAAAGAGUCCAGGAGACAAAACUCUCUCCUGCUGAAGUAGCUAGGACUGCGGUUGAGGUUUGUACCUGAGAAACAAUAUGAGACCACUACUGUCAGAGUUUCGUAUGAACUAGAAUAGUGUUUAGUUUUGCUAUGAGAUGCAUUAGCUGAAGAGGAAGGCGGCAGGACUAAGAAGACCACAAAGACUAGGUGGUCUACAUCAGACGUGAAAAAGUUUUAUCAUUCUCAUUGUUAUUUUGCAUUUGAGCUUUUUUAUGUUUUUAGUUUCAUGAAUAAGUACACGUUGAACAAUUUUCUGAACCGUAUUUGGGUUGUGUUGGUUUAGCGGAUUUUAUAGGAAUUUAGGAUAUAUCAGCAUUUGGACGAGUUCACGAGUUGA